rnacentral:rRNA from 1 species
CUGACCGUGCAAAGGUAGCAUAAUCAUUUGCCUUAUAAUUGAAGGCUAGUAUGAAUGGUUUGACAUGAAUGUAGCUGUCUCUUUAUAAUUUAAUAGAAUUUUAUCUUCAGGUGAAGAAGCCUGAAUUCAAUUAAAAGACAAGAAGACCCUAUCGAGCUUGAAAAAAAUUGAUGGAAUUAAAGUCAAUGUAGUUAAAAGGCUAUCUAUCGCAUAUUUUAGUUGGGGCGACUGAGGAACAUAAAAAGCUUCCUUUAAAAAUAUUAGUUUAAGUCAAACUAGAAUUGAUCCAAAAUAUUUUGAUUAAAGGAAUUAGUUACCGUAGGGAUAACAGCAUUAUCUUUUUUAAGAGCUCAUAUCGAAAAAAAGGUUUGUGACCUCGAUGUUGGACCAGAAUAUCCUAAAGGUGCAGCAGCC